CUCUGGGUGGUGCAAAUGGUUAACACAUUCAGCUGUUAACUGAGAGGCUGAAAGUUUGAGUCCACCCAGAGG
rnacentral:tRNA from 1 species